rnacentral:piRNA from 1 species
UGAGAGACUUCGCCCAGUGGGUAAGGACUCC